UUGUUUGUUUGUUCUGUGUGAAAAAUUGGGGGUUUCAUUUACAUUCUCCUCCUGAUUGAUUGAGGGUGAGAGUGAGAAGGAUGAUGAUUGAAUCAGGGUUUCGUUUCGAUUUUGGUUCUAUUAGAGCCAAGGGGUUUUUAGGUUUCUAUCCAAGUAUAUGUUGAUUUACAAUUAGAUUGUUGUUUUUUUUUUUUUGUUUUUGUUUACCAAUUUUUCUCUUCUUCAUCCUUAAUCCUCUCUUCAGAAUUCUAAAGAGAUAAGGACGAAGAAGAGGUAAACUGGUAAGCUGACCACGGUGAUGCAUGCUGUUUCAUUUGAUUUCUAAUUCCAUUUUUGCUUUUAUCGAAUUUAAUUUAAUUUUGAGAUCACAAUACAAACAAUGUCUAGGUUGCACUUUUGAUUCAUUUUCAGGGAGGAGUUUUCUAUUUACAAAUAGGGAGUUGGAAAUAUAUUGGGAUGUGCUUUGAAUGGAAAUUUAAUUCUAUUGGGUUACAUUGUGUUGGGAAAAUUCUCAAGGAAAAUGUGCCUUUACUUGGCAAUUUCAACCUAGUUUGUUUCUCUGUGCAUUUUUAUAUCAAAUUCUCAUGCUGUCGAAAAAGGAUGAGAGGACUUCUUUGAAGUUUUUUUGUGGAGUUUGUGUCGGACAACUCGUUGCAUGUUAUGAUUCAUGAAGAUUUGGUAACCUUUAGAAUGAUACAUGUAUAAUGUAGUGGAGCGUUGGGCACACUUAUAGCCAAUUGUAAUAACUCUUUUGCCAUAAGCUGUUUUUAUCUACAGGAUUUUGUUUUGGUUUAUAAAUAUUUUCAUCUGUUAAACUCUUGUUUAAUUGGUUGGUUGUAACUGCACUGCACUAUAAAGUCGAAACUUCAGUCUUCUGUCCUGCUUUUUCUUAUCUUAUUAACAUCACGGUAAUUCUUUUCCCUUUUAGGAAACGGGAAGAUCUGUGUCCAUUUCGAGUUUUCCCUUGGAAAUGUCAAACUGCACUGCAGCUUUUCAAACUCGACGAUGGUUACUUCCAACAAGAGAUUAAAAAAGCCUCUUGAACCAAUACUAGACAGUGCAUUCUCAGAUCAAACAAAUGCUUCAUUGACAGUCAUUUCUGAACUGCUUCCUUGAAGUUAAGGGCUGAAAUACUUGAAGCUGCAUCCUCCAAAAUAUGUGGUGGUGACAAAUCUAGGUCCCGCAUAGUAGAGAAGCUGUAAGAAUCAUAUGAGUUGCUGAAGAUGCUAAUGUGGCUGCUGUCAGAGAAUAUGAAAGAAUCAAGUAAUGGGAGUUGUAAGAGAUGGAACUACCUCUGGGAUUUUACCAAAUAAUGAGGAAUUUGUGGUGCACUAUCCAGGUUAUCCAUCAUCAGCUUCUCAGGCUGUUCAAACUCUUGAAAGAGCUGAAAGAAUCAUGAAGGACACACUACAUGAGUAUCUUCGAGUUAUAUUAGCUGUCGAUUUUGCAUUCUCGGAUUUGACAAAUGCUUUAUUUGACUGCCAUUUGUCUUCCUUGAAGUUAAGGGAUGAAAAACCUGAAGCUGCAUCCUCCAAAAUAAUUGGCGGUGACAAAUCUAGGUUCCCAAAAUAAAGAAGCUGCAUGAAACCAGAGUUGCUGAAGAUGCUAAGAUGAUUGCUGGUUUGAAAACAUGAAACAAUCAAGGCUUAGCAAAAGAAUAUUGGUAAAUCCAUUCUACCAUGAAAGCGGGAACCUUAAUAAUACAGAGGAUGAGAAGAUGGUAUAAGACCGUACCAAUUCCGAUGCUCCUUGUUUGUUGUUGUUUGAGGUUAUCAUCUUAUGCCUUACUCCGAGAUAUGGAUCUGAGCAUGAGAAUUUCAGUCAGGAAGCAUGAAUGCUGUGAAUUUGGAGGUUGAAGACACAUGAUGCUGGCUUUACUCUACCCCAAAACCAAGGAGGUUCUUUUCUUUUCUUUUUUUUUUUUUUCUAGACAAGAAGGUUCCAACUUGGAUGCUCCUUUGUUUGUUGUUGUUUGUGUCAUCUUAUGCCUUACUGAGAAGUAUUACAAAGCUGACAAGAAUUGCGCCAGAAACGAAGAACUUGUAUCUUCAAUUCUUCCAUUUUUUCCUUUUACAGUCAUUUUGGUCCCAGUUAAGGAUCAAAGUUGUAUCAUUGUUUUAUAAUACGACGCGCGGUUGAAGUGGCCAAUUAGCUGUUU